rnacentral:rRNA from 1 species
AGUCUGGUGCCAGCAGCCGCGGUAAUUCCAGCUCCAAUAGCGUAUAUUAAAAUUGUUGCAGUUAAAAAGCUCGUAGUUGGAUUUCUGGUUUUGCGAGUUUGGCCCCCAGCUACGGCUGGCGCGUGUCGUUAUUCGCUUACCAUCCUUCUGGGGAGGGUCUCACAUCACUUUAAUGUGUUUGGGUCACGUAACCAGAUCUUUUACUUUGAAAAAAUUAGAGUGUUUAAAGCAGGCUUGCGCUGUGAAUACAUUAGCAUGGAAUAAUAAUUUAGGACUUUUGCUCCUGUUUUGUUGGUUUAUUGGACGGAAGUAAUGAUUGAUAGGGAUAGUUGGGGGUGCUAGUAUUCAGCGGCCAGAGGUGAAAUUCUUGGAUUCGCUGAAGACUAACUUAUGCGAAAGCAUUCACCAAGGAUGUCUUCUUUAAUCAAGAACGAAAGUCGGGGAUCGAAGACGAUCAGAUACCGUCGUAGUCUCAACCAUAAACUAUGCCGACUAGGGAUGAGUGAUCGUUGCUAUUUCGACUUCAUUCGCACCUUAUGAGAAAUCAAAGUCUUUGGGUUCCGGGGGGAGUAUGGUCGCAAGGCUGAAACUUAAAGGAAUUGACGGAAGGGCACACCAGGAGUGGAGCCUGCGGCUUAAUUUGACCCAACACGGGAAAACUUACCAGGUCCAGACAUAGUAAGGAUUGACAGAUUGAAGAUCUUUCUUGAUUCUAUGGGUGGUGGUGCAUGGCCGUUCCUAGUUGGUGGAGUGAUUUGUCUGGUUAAUUCCGUUAACGAACGAGACCUCGACCUGCUAAAUAGGUCUACUAAUCUUGAUUGGUCUGACACUUCUUAGAGGGACUAUCGGUGUGUAGCCGAUGGAAGUUCGAGGCAAUAACAGGUCUGUGAUGCCCUUAGAUGCCCUGGGCCGCACGCCGCUACACUGAUACGUUCAUCGAGCUCAACCUUGGUUGAGAGGCCUGGGUAAUCUUUUUAAACCGUAUCGUGCUGGGGAUAGAUUAUUGUAAUUUUUAAUCUUCAACGAGGAAUUCCUAGUAAACGCGAGUCAUCAACUCGCAUUGAUUACGGCCCUGCCCUUUGUACACACCGCCCGUCGCUACUACCGAUUGAAUGGUUUAGUGAGCUUCAGGGAUUGUUUGUUUGGUCGGUUCGCCGUCCUUUCACUCCCGAGAACUGAAU